GUGGGAAAUGAUAUUAAGUCUUAAACAAGGAAAACAAUGUAACAAAAGCACAAUACUUCAUACUCACAGGUCGACAUAAUUUGAUAUAUCUUUCUGAUUCAGUUAGAUGCUUAGUGUGAAGAUUUUUGAAGGUAACUGGGCUACAGCAGUGCUGUGAAUUUCUCUUGUGUUAUUUGUAUUUUACUCAUCUCAGUUUUCGAUACUGUCACUCUUAUUAGGUGAAUGGGAAAAACGCAGGAGCAGAUGAAGCUGAUGGAAACUGGAACCUCACCCUGUUGCUGGAACUGUUAUUAACUCGGCUAUCAUACGCAGCUCAUGUGGCACGACUGGCAUUCUUCGCACUGCUUCCCUCAAAUGCAGCGACUAUGCUGUAUGAGACCACCUCUGAGCAUGGAAAGGUGAGCUGCCUGUGAAUAUUAAGUCACAUUUUUUCUGAUGAAACUGCAGAAAUACUGUAAAUUAGUGCCAACUGUGGUCGUGUGGUGUACGUACAGAGCUGUGAGUACCGAAGUGCUGCUGGCAUUGGUAACAGCUCGCAGCCCACAGUGAGCUAGAUUAGAAGUAAAAUGUUGUGCCCUCCGUCCAGACUCUAAAAAAUUCUGGCUGCCCUAAAAGCAGAAGCAGUUUUGGGAAUGCACAGAGGAUCUGCUUCUAUGCUCUUCACACAUUAAACUCAGCUGAACUGCAGAAAUGAUCCAUUUUAACUGGAAAUGUGCAUGUUUUAAGUUAGCCGCCAGAUGGAGCUCCUACCUCCCAUCGCACAAAUCCAUGAACAUCUGCAAAGCUAAAACACUUCAUAGAUAUUACAAAGGAUGCCGUUUCUUCCACUUCAUAAAAGUCAGAGGAAGUCUGUGAUUAGCUAGAUGUUUACAAAUAAAGGGGAAUCUGGAGACAGAUCAAAGGUAACUCUCCAGAUUUGGCAUGAUACCAAGUUCCUGUACUACUAGCAUCUGCAUGAGUUUGACUGUCAGAUUAAGUGGUUGAACUUGGCCUAGCUCAUCACGAACCAGCAGUGCUUUUUUUAAUGCUU
rnacentral:lncRNA from 1 species